GAAAGGUAAAACAUCAAUCCCGCCAUCGCUGGCGAGGUUUUUCGAACAGAGCACUUCGAGCGCACGCUCUCCAGAGAGAGGCUAGCGAUCGAUUCGAUUCCGGCUCGUGCAUCGUCGAUCGAUCGAAUCGCUCGAAAAGGUUGGAAUUCCAUGGGGGAUUGGGGCUUGGAGGAGGUAGAGAAAGCUCGGGGUUGCUGAGCUUGGCUCUCGAGUUCAGCUUCGACGAGCAGUCUGCUUGCAAGUGCUUGGACCAUCUCGUUUCGCUCUACGGUAACGCGAAUCAUUACGUCGAGUUAUGUAGCCCAUUUUUUAUGCUGAUUGGCCGUCGAAGCACUUGCUGGCAGACUGCUCGUCGAAGCUGAACUCGAGAGCCAAGCUCAGCAACCCCCGUGGUCCGUCCUCCAGCAACGCGGCGUCAAGGUCCGCGGAUCCGACGUGACGAAGGUCGAGAGUUUAUCACUGUAGAGCACUGUGGCAAUGACUUCCUAGCAGAACUUGAUGAAACCAUGCGAGAUUCUAAGGAUUGGGAUGAAUUGCAAGCUGUGGAAAUCAGAAACUUGUGGAGUUUUGACUGACAUGUUUGGCCAAGAUAUCGGUAGUGACGGUGAAUGCAAUAAUUUACAAGGUAUCGAUAUUGUAGAAGAUUCUCCACAACCUAAGAAAAACCAAACUUUUCUUGAGGUGAAGAUUCCUCUACUGAUAGUGAUGACGAAGACAAUAUAUUUUCAGUAAAAUAGGCAGGAAAUCUACAUGCUAUGUUCCUAACUAAAGCGGUACUCCGAGCGAUUCUUUCAUUCAACUUCUGGCCAGACAAUUUUUCAGAAUCCAUGGUAUGCUUCAACCAUGGACAUAGCCAAUACAUGCCAAACCACUUAAAUCACUAUGUCACUGUUAUUUUCUCAUAUAAUUUAUUCUCUGCUUGAUCAUUUGCAAUUUUGCUUGCAAUUUUGCACAUAGCAAAGGACCUACAUGAUGUACAUGUACAAAAGCAUUUAGUAAAUUUUUCUUGUGGUGCCUCUCAUCCAAUGAAAUGUCCAAUAGACAGUCAUAACUUUUGCCAAUUGCUUCCAAAAUAUUCGAGAUCCAAAAUGACAUAUUGGAACUCUUUGGUCAAUAAAGAAGUUGACUUUUGUUUUGGAAGAUGUACAAGUACCUAUUUUCUCAAAAUACUUUGAGAGUAUAGCAAAUCAUCAAAGUGUGGAACUCAGUGAUCAAGUGUCUUUGAUAGGAAUGUUUUGCAUAAAUGAAGGCUUGUAAUUUCUUUGUGCACAUUUUUUAUUUUCCAUGACAAUCCAUGUCAGAAACUAUUACGGUGCUAAAGAGGCUUAUUCCUGUUGAAGGACUGUAAGAGCACUGUCACUCAAGGUUCAAUAUCAGUUUCAAAUAAAAAUGGCCAAUGUUGUCAUAUUCAGAAAUAGAGCAUUUUGACCAAUGUGGCAUUAGGCAUGUAAAGCUUCUGUAGCCAAGCAAGAUUGCUUCAUUCUCAUGCCCACUGGAGGUGGUAAAAGUUUAUGUUACUAGGUUAGUGAAUGUUAACAUUAUUUCAUUUGCGCAAUGAUCGAAUGAAGACGUAAGUGUGGAGACAAUGUUUAGAGCACAAGCCCUGUGCACUUUGCUCAAUGGUUCCACUGAUUAAAUACUAGACAGAUAGACCUGUACAUUGAAAUUUUAAGCUUUUUAAUGAUCUUGUAAUCUGCUUUGUUAGCACUGUUGCAAAGUUUGUGCUUAAACUUAAGGAUGAAAAUAUUUUCCAAAUGCAAAUUAAGCUAAAGGAAGUGAUUCGGGUACAGAACCAUGGGUUCCAAUGUACAGGAUCUGACUAAGUUGGAAAAGAAUAUUAUAUUGGACAUUCUUGUUCUACCUUCGCACAUUUCUAUCUAUUCUGUGAUUUCUAGAAUUUGAGGUCUUUACUAUGCUUCUAGGACCUUCUAAUUACUUACUGAAAAAUUUAUCUUGUUUUUGCAUGUAAGUGUUGUUGUCAGUCAUAGUUAAGGUCCAAUUCAAAAGGGUUAUUAAGUCAAAGUUUUUAAAUUACUUGUGCCAAAUACAGAUUUAGAUCUCUAUAUUUCCUGCAGGUAUGUGCUAUGUUAUCAUCUCAACUGGGGUGAUCAUGUAAGAUGGAUCUUGGUAGCAUGCAACAUAUUUGAUCUACUGAAUCACGAAGGAAGAUAUUAAUCUGAAUUUAUUAAUUUAAGUUAUCCUGAAGUAUUUUCUGUUGAGUCUUGAAGUAGAUGAUAUAUGUUUCUAACUGAAGUAAAUAUAAGACAAACAGUGACAACUGGUGCUUUCUGAUCAGCCGAAGGUGAAUGAACGGAUAAUUCCCUCAUCCCAUCUUCUCUUCAUGUGCUCUUCUGAUGUUUUUACCCUUCGUUUCAGCUACCAACAACUCUUAAACCAGGUGUCACAUUUCAUUAUAUGUCCCCUGCUAUCUAUCAUCCAGGACAAAAUAAUUACUCUAACCCUCCAUAUGUUACAGUGGAUGCACAUUUUUUAUGUAUUUAAUGAAAAGGUUCAUGCCUAAGAUGUUUGCCUCAAAUAAAUUUUAGGAUCUUAGUGUUCCUAGAGAAGUAUAUCAUAGCAUACAAUCAUCAUUUUGCCAUAAAAUGUUGGGGUAUAAUUGUUGCUGUGAGGUUUCUAUUCGACUUCUAAAGCUUUUUUUUUGCUGACUGUUGUGAUUAUCAAGUCAUUAAUACAUAAAAAAUGUGCCUUUUCAGGAAAGCUAAUCCAUCAUGCAAGCUAUUGUAUGUAACUCCUGAAAGGACUGUGGGAAACCCAUCAUUUCUUGAGAUAUUGAAAUGCUUGCAUAGAAAGGUCUUUACUGGAUUUGUGCCGCCAGUGCCAUCUCAUGAAAGAAACAUACUGCUGUCCAUGGGGACGUGAAUUUUGUCCAAAUUAUAGAGGACUGGAAUGUCUCAAGCAAAACUUUCCAUAUGACCCUGUGAUGGCCUUAACUGCCACUGCCACCUGUUCGUGAGUAAUUAUAUUUUAUGGCAUGUCAUCAGCAUUUUGUCAUCCACAACACAAUGUCAAAGUCAAUCGAAAGCUAUUACCAAGAAUCGGGGAGGCAGGAAGAGAUCUACCAGCAAUUUUUCCACUUAACUUCUGGCCAGACGAUCUUUAGAAUCCAUGGCACAGCUAGCUGGUUUUGUUAUUGAUGAGGCACAUUAUGUGAGGAAUGUGUAAUAUUUGGCAUGCCUUGUACAUGAAGAAAGAUCAUGCUAGAGUUACUUCAAGAGGAAUAAUUAUUUGUGAUGUUGCCACUGGAAAACUGUUGUCCUUGUUCCUGAUAAAUAUAAGCAAGUUAACUUUUAUAUAUGCUAACUUAAACUCUUUUUCCAAACUUUUCUGCAUUUUCUGGGUUUCUAGCCUAAUUAAAUUGUCAGUGUUACACUAGACCCUCCAAAGCCCAGAACCCUAUUAAGUUCUAAUAUAACCAAAUGCAGUGUUCCUUGUUUGAUGAAAAGAUUUAGGUUCCGUCAUUUGGGAACACUUAGCGGCACAUCGUAUAUUAUAUUGAGUAAAGAGGACACAAUUUAAUAAAACUCCAAUGGAAAGUACUUCCUAGAGUAAUUGGAUCCAGCAUAAGCUUGGAUAAGGAUCCAAUCUCCUCUUUAUGUUUGGCAGGACACUCAGUCUCUUGAGUUGGUUCUUGUAUCCCUAUUUAUUCCAUUAACGCUUAUACUUUAUGUUAACAACUUGAGAAAGGCAAAGGUUCGACCAUGUGAUCAUUGAUUGUGUUUCUUGCAAUGUCUUAACUGGAUUUGCUCUGCCAGUUUGAUCUCAUGAAAGGAAAGUACUGCUGAUUUGAGCUUUUCUUGAUUUGACUGAUAACAUUGAAAGCUCAUUGAUUGUCACUUUCGUGGUUGUCAUUAAUGUAGUCUAUGAGGACAGGAUUUUCGUCCAGAUUACGGACUAGUAUGUCUCAAGCCUAACUUUGCAUAUGACCCAGUGAUGGCCUUAGCUGAAACUGCCACUCACUCAGUUCGUGAGGAUAUCCUAAAAUCUCUUGGGAUUCCCCAUGCUCUUGUUCUUGAGACAAGCUUUGACAGACUAAAUCUAAAAUAUGAGGUCAUAGCCAAGACCAAGGAACCACUGAAGCAGCUCGGAUAGCUGCUAAAGAAUCGUUUUGCUAAUUUGUGUGGCAUAGUAUAUUGCCUUUCAAAGAGUGAAUGCGUUGAUGUCGCAAAAUACUUGAAUAAGAAGUGAUGUAUAAAGACAGUGUACUAUCAUGUUAGAUUAGUAGCCCGCCAAAGGGUAGCUGUUCAAAAGAAAUGGCAAACUGAAGAGGUCCAAAUUGUAUGUUAUAAAAAGAAAUGGCAUACUAUCAUUCUCGUGUUAUCGACUAGCUAUAUUAUAAAUUAUAUAAUCAAUACAUUGA